GGGGAGGACUGGAGCAGGCAGCAGGUGUACGGCGGAGGUCCACCACCGACCGACCACCCCGUGCAUUAUUUAUGACGGGGCUCGGCAGACUGGGGUCAUGUGACCACAUCAAGCUGGAAAGGGAGCCUUUGAGGAGCAGGCUCUCUGGAAGACCCCGCUGACUGCAUCAGUUGUUGACUCGUGAAAGAGCCGCUGGUCGAGGCGUCAUGGAAAACAGCCGUGCAACUGCCGUUAGCAGCCCUGGCCAGGGACAACUGUGCCCAACAGACAGCCCUGCUAACAGGGGCUGCCUCUGCUCUGCCACACACACACACACACACACACACACACACACACACACACACACACACACACACACACACACACACACACACACACACACACCACACA